rnacentral:lncRNA from 1 species
UGGGUCCCUGAGGCGUGGCAAAGCAGGACCCCUUCGUGGCAGUGCGUCGGUGUCGCGACUCCACCCUGACGUCUCCAGGAGCUCGAGAGGGAUGGUCUCCGGACGCCAGGAGUCGCGGAGGGCCGACCAGGAUGAAGAAACUUCAGGCGGAGUCCCAGGAGAGCAGCGCGGGAUCCCAGCCUCAGCCUGCCCAGACGGAGAGGUGCAGACCGACCUCCAAGAAGAUGGUUCUAACUCCUCCCGCCCUCUCUUCCCAUUGAGAAAUGGAGCCCCACCGCGACACAGGCUUGGAGAAGAAGUCGAGAACGGGAUGUGGCAAGGAUCUCUGUCACUCCAACGCUGGCCUUUCUGGCCAAGUCACCCGUUUGGCACUCCUUCCCGGAAGCCCAUGGCGGUGGCAUUGUGCUGUAUCCCGCCUGGGCUCUGACCUCUACACUGUCCUCCCUCUUGCUCUGUCUGCCAUGUUUCUGACGGGCCUGGAUGCUUCUUGGUCUGGCUCAGUGUCUUCCACAGAGAACACUUUUGAGUCCAUCAGGGAGAAACUGUGUGGAAAUCCAUUUCGUGAAUGUUGUCAUCAUAAAUCAUCAAAAUGUCAUCUGAUAGAACAUAUUUUUCUAAGUUAAUUUACUUAUGAGACAUUUACAAGGGUAUAGAAUAAUGUACUCAG